ACAGAGGGCGCGAGCGUUGUCCGGAAUCACUGGGCGUAGAGGGCGCGUAGGUGGUCACGAUAAGGCCGCGGUGAAAGCUUGGGGCUCAACCCCAGGUCGGCCGCGGCGACUGUCGGGCUUGGGCACUGUAGAGGCAGAUGGAAUUCCGGGUGUAGCGGUGGAAUGCGUAGAGAUCCGGAAGAAGACCGGUGGCGAAGGCGGCCUGCUGGGCAGUUACUGACACUGAGGCGCGACAGCGCGGGGAGCAAACAGGA
rnacentral:rRNA from 1 species